ensembl:misc_RNA Metazoa_SRP Metazoan signal recognition particle RNA
GCCGGGCGUGGUGGCGUGUGCCUGUAGUCCCAGCUACUCGGGAGGCUGAGGUGGGAGGACUGCUUGAGCCUAGGAGUUCUGGGCUGUAGUGCACUAUGCCGAUCAGGUGUCUGCACUAAGUUAGGCAUCAAUAUGGUGACCUCCCGGGAGCGGGUGACCACCAGGUUGCCUAAGGAGGGGUGAACCGGCCCAGGUCAGAAAUGGAGCAGGUCAAACCUCCCAUGCUGAUCAGUAGUGGGAUCAUGCCUGUGAAUAGCCACUGCACGCCAAACUGGGCAACAUAGCAAGACCCCAUCUCUU